UGUGGAUGCAUAAUGAAGACAGUGUGUUUAUAAUAAUGCUAUGGUUUGUGUCUAGGAAACAUGAACGACUGACAUUAUUUGUAUAGCUACCUGUCAACAUUUGUGUAAAACGGGCUUUAUAUCUUUAUACCUGCGCCGUGGUAUAAAUAAGCAAAAAGAUUAUCCAAACUUGAAACCUUGCCAAGAAUAGAGCUUAUACGUAUAAAUACUUUUGAAUGACAAAUUCCUAAUAAUAACGAAAAUACGCAUUCAGAACGAACUUGUUCCCUAUUA